GCCUAGAUAUGGGCUCUGGCCCAAAGCUCUCCUCCUCUGCGGAUGUGUCGGUGCUUGCCUCGAACUGCACCUGCAUGGCCAUGGCUGCAGCCGCCUUAACCCAGCGUUAUUUUUCAAACUUCUCCUCACGGGCCCGCCUCAACCGCCACUCCUCCUCAAGGCCGCAGCCGCCCGCUGCAACCCGCGCGGGACGCCGCGGCCAUUACCGUUCGCGGCCGCCACCGCUUCGGAGGAGCCCGCCACCG
rnacentral:lncRNA from 1 species